UAGCCCUUCACUACGUUCCCCAUCUUCAUAUGACGUCGUGCUGGUCAUCCCUUGAAACGGUGAGCUUCAUCUUUCUUUCUUAAACGCUGCGUUGCGAGUUCCCACUUAAAAUCCCUAACUCUUCACUUCACUUUUUACUUCCUCUUCUUCA